GUGCUCCCUUUCGGCAGCGCAUAUACUAAGAGUAGAAUGAUACAAAGAAGAUCAGCAUGGCCCCCGUGCAAGGAUGACAGGCAAAUUCGUGAUGCGUUUCAUAAAACU